GCCAGGAUAGUAGCUCAGUGGUAGAACACUUGCCUAGAAUGUGCAAGGACCUGGGUUCAGCCCCCAGUACUGCA
rnacentral:tRNA from 1 species